rnacentral:rRNA from 1 species
AUUGAACGCUGGCGGCAUGCCUUACACAUGCAAGUCGAACGGUAACAGGUCUUCGGAUGCUGAGGAGUGGCGAACGGGUGAGUAAUACAUCGGAACGUGCCUAGUAGUGGGGGAUAACUACUCGAAAGAGUGGCUAAUACCGCAUGAGAUCUACGGAUGAAAGCAGGGGAUCGCAAGACCUUGUGCUACUAGAGCGGCCGAUGGCAGAUUAGGUAGUUGGUGGGAUAAAAGCUUACCAAGCCGACGAACUGUAGCUGGUCUGAGAGGACGAUCAGCCACACUGGGACUGAGACACGGCCCAGACUCCUACGGGAGGCAGCAGUGGGGAAUUUUGGACAAUGGGCGCAAGCCUGAUCCAGCAAUGCCGCGUGCAGGAUGAAGGCCUUCGGGUUGUAAACUGCUUUUGUACGGAACGAAAAGCCCUGGGUUAAUACCCUGGGGUCAUGACGGUACCGUAAGAAUAAGCACCGGCUAACUACGUGCCAGCCGCCGCCGUAA